ensembl:lncRNA
UAUCUUCUCUAGGAAAGGUGAAAAAUCUGACACAGCAAUCCCGAACAGGUGAAACACUGAAUUGUGUUUUGAACCGAGACUCAGGAAAACAGGUGUGCCAGCCAUCUGUUGUUGUGUUGGGGAUGCUCUUCCCAAAAAUGUGUCCGUCCAGACAUUGAUUCACAGAAGACUGAGACUUACAAAGAGUUGAGGGAAAUGGGACAGAAGGAGGAGUCUCGUCUCCCUCUGGAGACCACAGCAGGAGACAGCGCAGGCAGUCCACACAGAUACCCAAGCUGCCCAAAUCAUCAGAGCCACUCAGGAGCUGCCGUCAGCACUUCCUGGGCUCCUGCAGGGUGUCCGGCUCCAUCACUUCAUGUUGCUCAUUGACAAAUGCCAAGGUGAGAGACUAUAGUGAGAUGAGAGAGGUGGGAGGUGCCAGCCUGCCUCCUUCUACACUACAGCCCGUGGAGGAAGAGGCCCAUUCGCUUUCCACCAGCUAUAAAUGUAAGAUACUUAUUAACAUUCAGGCUGGAUAAAGAGAGAAAACACGUCCACAGCUAUAUCACGGAAACAAUCCUGAUCCCUAAGGAAAAGAACAUGUACCACUCUUAACGGUGGAAAAAAUAAUUCCCUAUAAAAGAAUGUCUUAUCAGCAACAUUGGAUAAAAGAAGACAGUGGAGCAUCAAUUUAUAUCCAGCUAAAAUAUUAUAAUCUCUCAGGGUGAACAAAAACUGUUUGAGGAGAGGAAAGAAUUUGGAGAGACUAUCACUUAAGAACCGCAUCUGAUAACAGCACUGAGAAGACUAUUCCAACAACAAAUGAGAAAAUUCAGAAACCUGAAAAAGAUGAAAAAGAUGUGCAGCAUAGAAGCCCAUAUAUUUCUCCAGGCAUAACCACAUGUGUGACAACACUCUCCAGAAGCAGAAGUGAAUUCCUCUUACAAUACAUCCAAGGAGCGUUGACUGAGGGAGAUUUCACUUUCUGUGGACCGCAGCCAUCUCUUCAGUUUCUCCCUGUUACUGAAAUCUCAUUGUUACACUCAGAAUCUGUCUUCUCCCGGGGCUUACUUUCAAAGCAUUUCACUGCCUGUGACAAGACAGACUGGAGACGAUGCUGGGAGGCUGGGGAAGGUGGCAUGCUGAAGAAAAAUGCAAGGUAUGGUCCCUGCCCUAAAGAAAUAUAACCCAUCAAGAAAAGAAAGCAGCAUGAACUUCUUAAUGAAGUGUUUCCCCACUGUGGUCAUGGAUUAGUGAGGUGUCACAGACUUCUUUCAAGGUGCGAUUCCU